UAUUAAAAAUUCUAUCUAUUUGUAUUAUUAAAAACUAAUAUAGUUGACGAAAUAACCACAUAAUGACACCUAGUGUAUCACGUGCAUCACAUGCUGACGUACAUGAAUCAAUUUUUAACAGUAAAAUUGAUGAAAUUUUUAACA
rfam:Gossypium hirsutum cultivar TM-1 unplaced genomic scaffold scaffold149.1, whole genome shotgun sequence